UCAUGGCUCAGGAUGAACGCUGGCGGCGUGCUUAACACAUGCAAGUCGAACGAUGAUGCCAGCUUGCUGGUGGAUUAGUGGCGAACGGGUGAGUAACACGUGAGUAACCUGCCCUUAACUCUGGGAUAAGCCUGGGAAACUGGGUCUAAUACCGGAUAUGACUCCUCAUCGCAUGGUGGGGGGUGGAAAGCUUUAUUGUGGUUUUGGAUGGACUCGCGGCCUAUCAGCUUGUUGGUGAGGUAAUGGCUCACCAAGGCGACGACGGGUAGCCGGCCUGAGAGGGUGACCGGCCACACUGGGACUGAGACACGGCCCAGACUCCUACGGGAGGCAGCAGUGGGGAAUAUUGCACAAUGGGCGAAAGCCUGAUGCAGCGACGCCGCGUGAGGGAUGACGGCCUUCGGGUUGUAAACCUCUUUCAGUAGGGAAGAAGCGAAAGUGACGGUACCUGCAGAAGAAGCGCCGGCUAACUACGUGCCAGCAGCCGCGGUAAUACGUAGGGCGCAAGCGUUAUCCGGAAUUAUUGGGCGUAAAGAGCUCGUAGGCGGUUUGUCGCGUCUGCCGUGAAAGUCCGGGGCUCAACUCCGGAUCUGCGGUGGGUACGGGCAGACUAGAGUGAUGUAGGGGAGACUGGAAUUCCUGGUGUAGCGGUGAAAUGCGCAGAUAUCAGGAGGAACACCGAUGGCGAAGGCAGGUCUCUGGGCAUUAACUGACGCUGAGGAGCGAAAGCAUGGGGAGCGAACAGGAUUAGAUACCCUGGUAGUCCAUGCCGUAAACGUUGGGCACUAGGUGUGGGGGACAUUCCACGUUUUCCGCGCCGUAGCUAACGCAUUAAGUGCCCCGCCUGGGGAGUACGGCCGCAAGGCUAAAACUCAAAGGAAUUGACGGGGGCCCGCACAAGCGGCGGAGCAUGCGGAUUAAUUCGAUGCAACGCGAAGAACCUUACCAAGGCUUGACAUGAACCGGAAAUACCUGGAAACAGGUGCCCCGCUUGCGGUCGGUUUACAGGUGGUGCAUGGUUGUCGUCAGCUCGUGUCGUGAGAUGUUGGGUUAAGUCCCGCAACGAGCGCAACCCUCGUUCUAUGUUGCCAGCGCGUUAUGGCGGGGACUCAUAGGAGACUGCCGGGGUCAACUCGGAGGAAGGUGGGGACGACGUCAAAUCAUCAUGCCCCUUAUGUCUUGGGCUUCACGCAUGCUACAAUGGCCGGUACAAAGGGUUGCGAUACUGUGAGGUGGAGCUAAUCCCAAAAAGCCGGUCUCAGUUCGGAUUGGGGUCUGCAACUCGACCCCAUGAAGUCGGAGUCGCUAGUAAUCGCAGAUCAGCAACGCUGCGGUGAAU
rnacentral:rRNA from 1 species